UCUGGGUCCCCGACAUGUGCUAUAUUUCUCCUGUUACACAAAGUCGAAACCUACACGCCCAUCCUGGAACUUCGACAGCCAUUUCAAAGCACUAUCUCGUACAUGAAACCGGCUAGAUUUAUUCUCUCGAUGUACUGGAAAGUCACUGGACACCCCUCCUGUCGAGAAAUGGACCACCCCAUGUCACGAUGUAACGUACUAGCUACCAUCCCUGCGGAAACGUGGACCAACCUCUGAUUCACAUCCGUGUUGUAGCACUGCCGCGGACUGCUGUGUGUUCCAGACUUUUUAAAUGCUGCCUAAGAAAUAAAACAAAUGUAUAUUAGAAAC